AACGAACGCUGGCGGCGCGCCUAAUACAUGCAAGUCGAGCGAGAAGACGUAGCAAUACGUUUGUAAAGCGGCGAACGGGUGAGGAAUACAUGGGUAACCUACCCUCGAGUGGGGAAUAACUAGCCGAAAGGUUAGCUAAUACCGCGUACGCUCCUUGGACUUCGGUUCAGGGAGGAAAGCGAUACCGUGGGUAUCGCGCUCUUGGAUGGGCUCAUGUCCUAUCA
rnacentral:rRNA from 1 species